AGGAAAUAGAUACCCAGGUAGUCCACGCCCUAAACGAUGUCGACUGGUUGUUGGGGGUUUGACACUCUCAGUAAACGAAAGCUAAACGCGUGAAGUCGACCGCCUGGGGAGUACGGCCGCAAGGUUAAAACUCAAAGGAAUUGACGGGGACCCGCACAAGCGGUGGAUUAUGUGGAUUAAUUCGAUGCAACGCGAAAAACCUUACCUACCCUUGACAUGUCCGGACGGCCGUGCUGAAAGGCGGGUGUGCCCGAAACGGGAACCGGAACACAGGUGCUGCAUGGCUGUCGUCAGCUCGUGUCGUGAGAUGUUGGGUUAAGUCCCGCAACGAGCGCAACCCUUGUCAUUAGUUGCUACAUUCAGUUGGGCACUCUAAUGAGACUGCCGGUGACAAACCGGUAGGAAGGUGGGGAUGACGUCAAGUCCUCAUGGCCCGUUAUGGGUAGGGCUUCACACGUAAUACAAUGGCGCGUACAGAGGGCUGCUAAGCCGCGAGGUAGAGCCAAUCCCUUAAAGCGCGUCGUAGUCCGGAUUGCAGUCUGCAACUCGACUGC
rnacentral:rRNA from 1 species